rnacentral:rRNA from 1 species
UGGGGAAUAUUGCACAAUGGGCGCAAGCCUGAUGCAGCCAUGCCGCGUGUAUGAAGAAGGCCUUCGGGUUGUAAAGUGCUUUCAGUCGGGAGGAAGGUGUCAAGGUUAAUAACCUUGGCAAUUGACGUUACCGACAGAAGAAGCACCGGCUAACUCCGUGCCAGCAGCCGCGGUAAUACGGAGGGUGCAAGCGUUAAUCGGAAUUACUGGGCGUAAAGCGCACGCAGGCGGUUGAUUGAGUCAGAUGUGAAAUCCCCGGGCUUAACCCGGGAAUUGCAUCCGAUACUGGUCAGCUAGAGUCUUGUAGAGGGGGGUAGAAUUCCAUGUGUAGCGGUGAAAUGCGUAGAGAUGUGGAGGAAUACCGGUGGCGAAGGCGGCCCCCUGGACAAAGACUGACGCUCAGGUGCGAAAGCGUGGGGAGCAAACAGG